GGUUAAUCUGCCAUAAGGUGGAGGAUAACCUUGGAAACCUGAGGGUAAAACUCCAUAGGGAAUACGAUCUGGAAUGAUGUAUUCUUUAAACGCAAGGCCUUAUGAUGAGACUGCGGUGGAUUAGGUAGUUGGUAGGGUAACGGCCUACCAAGCCUACGAUCCAUACGGGCCUUGGAAGAGGUAACCCGGAGAGGGACACUGAGAUACUGGUCCCAGCCCUACGGGGUGCAGCAGGCGCGAAAACUUUACAAUGCACGAAAGUGUGAUAGGGGAACUCAAAGUGCUUAUGCUUUUAGCAUAGGCUUUUGCCAAGUCAAAACCGCUUGGCGAAUAAGUGGUGGGCAAGACUGGUGCCAGCCGCCGCGGUAACCCCAGCGCCACGAGUGGGAACCGGUAUUAUUGGGCCUAAAGCGUCCGUAGCAGGUCUUCUAAAUUAUUUGUGAAAUCGCGUAGCUUAACUAUGCGGAUUGCAGGUAAGACUGGAAGGCUAGAGACCGGGAGAAGUCAAAGGUACUCAGAGGGGAGCGGUAAAAUGCGAGAAUCCUCUGAAGACCACCUAUUGCGAAGGCAUUU
rnacentral:rRNA from 1 species